rnacentral:rRNA from 1 species
CGUGGUUGAUCCUGCCAGUAGCAUAUGCUUGUCUCAAAGAUUAAGCCAUGCAAGUGUAAGUCCACACGGCUGGAACAGUGAAACUGCGAAUGGCUCAUUAAAUCAGUUAUGGUUCCUUUGAUCGCUCACCCGCUACUUGGAUAACUGUGGCAAUUCUAGAGCAAAUUCAUGCCAACAAGCGCUGACCCUUGCGGGGAUGAGUGCAUUUAUCAGAUCUUAAACCCAAGCGGAGUGCCCCGCUUCCGUGGGUGCGCCCCGGCCGUUUUGGUGACUCUAGAUAACCUUGAGCCGAUCGCUUGCCCUCCGUGGCAGCGAUGACUCAUUAGAAUGUCUGCCCUAUCAACUCAACUUUUGAUGGUACCCUUUGUGCCUACCAUGGUGACCACGGGUAACGGGGAAUCAGGGUUUGAUUCCGGAGAGGGAGCCUGAGAAAUGGCUACCACAUCCAAGGAAGGCAGCAGGCGCGCAAAUUAACCACGCACGACACGUGGAGAUAGUGACAAAAAAUAACAAUACAGGACUCUUUCAAGGCCCUGUAAUUGGAAUGAAAACACUUUAAAUCCUUUAAUGAGUACCAAUUGGAGGGCAAGUCUGGUGCCAGCAGCCGCGGUAAUUCCAGCUCCAAUAGCGUAUCUUAAAGUUGCUGCAGUUAAAAAGCUUGUAGUCAGGAUUUUGUGGCCGGGCUGACGGUCCACCGCGAGGCAUGCCACUGCCCGUCCUGGCCCCUGCCCUCUCGGCGCCCCCUCGAUGCUCUUGACUGAGUGUCCCGCGGGGUUCGAAGCGUUUACUUUGAAAAAAUUAGAGUGUUCAAAGCAACUGUUGUCUUUGACCCCUUCCUAUGGGCCCCCAGGGGGGAGCCCGGUGCCCCCGCCCCCUGUCCCUCGGCUUCUCUGCGGAGCCUGGCUGGGACACAGAGUGGGGGUAGGGAUGGAGAGUUUUGAGAAGAGAUGGGGAAAAUAAUGUUGUAAUUGUGUAUUAACAGAUAUUAAGACCUAUUCACCUAUUCAGUGCUUUAUUUUCGCAGCCUUGAAGGUUUGGACAGGGAUCCACUGGGCUGCAAUUUGCAAACCUUUGACCAGUGUGCAUGUGACUGCGACGAUUGGAAAAAUCUGAGGGAUCAUCAACAGAGAAUUUGUAUCUAUAUUUAAGUAAGACCAUGGCAUUACCUGCAUUCAAAGAUCCUUGUUAAUUAUUGAUAUUAUUGCUAUUUGUGCUUGGCUCAUUUGCAAAUACAAUUAUUUGAUAGGC